GCUGGACGUGGUGGCGCACGCCUGUAAUCCUAGCAACUCAGGAGGCUGAAGCAGGAAUAUCGCAAGUUCAAAGCCAGCCUCAGCAACUUAGCAAAGUCCUGAGCAACUUAGCGAGACCCUGUCUCAA
rnacentral:sRNA from 1 species